UGCAAUUCGUUGCACUAUCGUUAACUGAAUACAUAGGUUAACGAGGCGAACCGGGGGAACUGAAACAUCUAAGUACCCCGAGGAAAAGAAAUCAACCGAGAUUCCCCCAGUAGCGGCGAGCGAACGGGGAGCAGCCCAGAGUCUGAAUCAGCUUGUGUGUUAGUGGAACGGUCUGGAAAGUCCGACGGUACAGGGUGAUAGUCCCGUACACCAAAAUGCACAGGUUGUGAACUCGAAGAGUAGGGCGGGACACGUGGUAUCCUGUCUGAAUAUGGGGGGACCAUCCUCCAAGGCUAAAUACUCCUGACUGACCGAUAGUGAACCAGUACCGUGAGGGAAAGGCGAAAAGAACCCCGGCGAGGGGAGUGAAAAAGAACCUGAAACCGUGUACGUACAAGCAGUGGGAGCACCUUCGGGUGUGACUGCGUACCUUUUGUAUAAUGGGUCAGCGACUUAUAUUCUGUAGCAAGGUUAACCGUAUAGGGGAGCCGCAGGGAAACCGAGUCUUAACUGGGCGUUAAGUUGCAGGGUAUAGACCCGAAACCCGGUGAUCUAGCCAUGGGCAGGUUGAAGGUUGGGUAACACUAACUGGAGGACCGAACCGACUAAUGUUGAAAAAUUAGCGGAUGACUUGUGGCUGGGGGUGAAAGGCCAAUCAAACCGGGAGAUAGCUGGUUCUCCCCGAAAGCUAUUUAGGUAGCGCCUCGUGAACUCAUCUUCGGGGGUAGAGCACUGUUUCGGCUAGGGGGUCAUCCCGACUUACCAACCCGAUGCAAACUACGAAUACCGAAGAAUGUUAUCACGGGAGACACACGGCGGGUGCUAACGUCCGUCGUGAAGAGGGAAACAACCCAGACCGCCAGCUAAGGUCCCAAAGUCAUGGUUAAGUGGGAAACGAUGUGGGAAGGCACAGACAGCCAGGAUGUUGGCUUAGAAGCAGCCAUCAUUUAAAGAAAGCGUAAUAGCUCACUGGUCGAGUCGGCCUGCGCGGAAGAUGUAACGGGGCUAAACCAUGCACCGAAGCUGCGGCAGCGACACUAUGUGUUGUUGGGUAGGGGAGCGUUCUGUAAGCCUGCGAAGGUGUGCUGUGAGGCAUGCUGGAGGUAUCAGAAGUGCGAAUGCUGACAUAAGUAACGAUAAAGCGGGUGAAAAGCCCGCUCGCCGGAAGACCAAGGGUUCCUGUCCAACGUUAAUCGGGGCAGGGUGAGUCGACCCCUAAGGCGAGGCCGAAAGGCGUAGUCGAUGGGAAACAGGUUAAUAUUCCUGUACUUGGUGUUACUGCGAAGGGGGGACGGAGAAGGCUAUGUUAGCCGGGCGACGGUUGUCCCGGUUUAAGCAUGUAGGCUGAUUGUCCAGGCAAAUCCGGAUAAUCAAGGCUGAGGUGUGAUGACGAGGCACUACGGUGCUGAAGUAACAAAUGCCCUGCUUCCAGGAAAAGCCUCUAAGCAUCAGGUAACAUUAAAUCGUACCCCAAACCGACACAGGUGGUCAGGUAGAGAAUACCAAGGCGCUUGAGAGAACUCGGGUGAAGGAACUAGGCAAAAUGGUGCCGUAACUUCGGGAGAAGGCACGCUGGUGUGUAGGUGAAGUCCCUGCGGAUGGAGCUGAGACCAGUCGAAGAUACCAGCUGGCUGCAACUGUUUAUUAAAAACACAGCACUGUGCAAACACGAAAGUGGACGUAUACGGUGUGACGCCUGCCCGGUGCCGGAAGGUUAAUUGAUGGGGUUAUCCGUAAGGAGAAGCUCUUGAUCGAAGCCCCGGUAAACGGCGGCCGUAACUAUAACGGUCCUAAGGUAGCGAAAUUCCUUGUCGGGUAAGUUCCGACCUGCACGAAUGGCGUAAUGAUGGCCAGGCUGUCUCCACCCGAGACUCAGUGAAAUUGAACUCGCUGUGAAGAUGCAGUGUACCCGCGGCAAGACGGAAAGACCCCGUGAACCUUUACUAUAGCUUGACACUGAACAUUGAGCCUUGAUGUGUAGGAUAGGUGGGAGGCUUUGAAGCGUGGACGCCAGUCUGCGUGGAGCCAACCUUGAAAUACCACCCUUUAAUGUUUGAUGUUCUAACGUUGGCCCCUGACCGGGGUUGCGGACAGUGUCUGGUGGGUAGUUUGACUGGGGCGGUCUCCUCCCAAAGCGUAACGGAGGAGCACGAAGGUUAGCUAAUCCUGGUCGGACAUCAGGAGGUUAGUGCAAUGGCAUAAGCUAGCUUGACUGCGAGCGUGACGGCGCGAGCAGGUGCGAAAGCAGGUCAUAGUGAUCCGGUGGUUCUGAAUGGAAGGGCCAUCGCUCAACGGAUAAAAGGUACUCCGGGGAUAACAGGCUGAUACCGCCCAAGAGUUCAUAUCGACGGCGGUGUUUGGCACCUCGAUGUCGGCUCAUCACAUCCUGGGGCUGAAGUAGGUCCCAAGGGUAUGGCUGUUCGCCAUUUAAAGUGGUACGCGAGCUGGGUUUAGAACGUCGUGAGACAGUUCGGUCCCUAUCUGCCGUGGGCGCUGGAGAAUUGAGGGGGGCUGCUCCUAGUACGAGAGGACCGGAGUGGACGCAUCACUGGUGUUCGGGUUGUCAUGCCAAUGGCACUGCCCGGUAGCUAAAUGCGGAAGAGAUAAGUGCUGAAAGCAUCUAAGCACGAAACUUGCCCCGAGAUGAGUUCUCCCUGAGACUUUAAGUCUCCUGAAGGAACGUUAAAGACGAUGACGUUGAUAGGCCGGGUGUGUAAGCGCAGCGAUGCGUUGAGCUAACCGGUACUAAUGAACCGUGAGGCUUAACCUU
rnacentral:rRNA from 1 species